rnacentral:rRNA from 1 species
GAUGAACGCUGGCGGCGUGCCUAAUACAUGCAAGUCGAGCGAACAGACGAGGAGCUUGCUCCUCUGACGUUAGCGGCGGACGGGUGAGUAACACGUGGAUAACCUACCUAUAAGACUGGGAUAACUUCGGGAAACCGGAGCUAAUACCGGAUAAUAUAUUGAACCGCAUGGUUCAAUAGUGAAAGACGGUUUUGCUGUCACUUAUAGAUGGAUCCGCGCCGCAUUAGCUAGUUGGUAAGGUAACGGCUUACCAAGGCAACGAUGCGUAGCCGACCUGAGAGGGUGAUCGGCCACACUGGAACUGAGACACGGUCCAGACUCCUACGGGAGGCAGCAGUAGGGAACCUUCCGCAAUGGGCGAAAGCCUGACGGAGCAACGCCGCGUGAGUGAUGAAGGUCUUCGGAUCGUAAAACUCUGUUAUUAGGGAAGAAUAAAUGUGUAAGUAACUAUGCACGUCUUGACGGUACCUAAUCAGAAAGCCACGGCUAACUACGUG